CCCAACUAUCCCUAUUAAUCAUUACAGUGAUCCUAGAAACCAACAAAAUAGAAUCAUUGUCCUAUUUUAUUAUUCCAUGCUAAUGUAUUCAAGCAAAUAAUGCCUGCUUUAAACACUCUAAUUUUUUCAAAGUAAAAAGUCCUAGUUCAUUGAAACACCCAAUUAAGGAGGACAUCACAAUUCACCAGAAGGUAAGAAAUUGGCUACACCAGUUCAUACCCCUUAAGGCACGACCGAUGCAUCAAUCCCGAAAUUCAACUACGAGCUUUUUAACCGCAGCAACCUUAAUAUACGCUAUUGGAGCUGGAAUUACCGCGGCUGCUAAUACCAGACUUGCCCUCCAA
rnacentral:misc_RNA from 1 species